rnacentral:tRNA from 1 species
UGCGGUAAUGGUCUAAUGGCAUGACAGGGGCUUCCCAAGCCUCUAAUCCGGGUUCGAUCCCCGGUUAUCGCAU